UACGGAGGGUGCAAGCGUUAAUCGGAAUUACUGGGCGUAAAGCGCACGCAGGCGGCUGAGUCAGUCGAUUGUGAAAGCCCUGGGCUUAACCUGGGAAUUGCAGUCGAUACUACUCAGCUAGAGUAUGGGAGAGGGUAGUGGAAUUCCCGGUGUAGCGGUGAAAUGCGUAGAUAUCGGGAGGAACAUCAGUGGCGAAGGCGGCUUCCUGGACCAAUACUGACGCUCAGGUGCGAAAGCGUGGGGAGCAAACAGG
rnacentral:rRNA from 1 species